rnacentral:lncRNA from 1 species
GAGAGACUGGACUCAUGGACCCCAGGGGCCUCCCGUGGACGGCGGGGAGCCCACGCAGCACACGGAUCAGCCUGCGCUCUGCCAUCCCUGACAGCCCCAGUAGGAUCACAGGGUGAGACAGCAGCUCCUGCCCAGCAGCCCUGACCCAGAACAAUGGCAGGUCUGGUUCAACAUCUCAAAGCUGUGCUGUGGUUCAUUUUGAAAUCAGACAUCCUCCAAU